UACGUAGGGGGCAAGCGUUGUCCGGAAUCAUUGGGCGUAAAGAGCGUGUAGGCGGCCCGGUAAGUCCGCUGUGAAAGCCCCGGGCUUAACCUGGGAGGUGCGUCUGGGACUGGUGGGCUAGAGAUCGGGAGAGGAGAGUGGAAUUCCCAGUGUAGAGGUGAAAUUCGUAGAUAUUGGGAAGAACACCGGUGGCGAAGGCGGCUCUCUGGACCGAUACUGACGCUGAGGCGCGAAAGCGUGGGGAGCAAACAGG
rnacentral:rRNA from 1 species